rnacentral:rRNA from 1 species
AACGAACGCUGGCGGCAGGCCUAAUACAUGCAAGUCGAGCGCAUUCUUCGGAAUGAGCGGCGGACGGGUGAGUAACGCGUGGGAAUAUGCCCUUCUCUAAGGAAUAGCCUCUGGAAACGGAGAGUAAUACCUUAUACGCCCUUCGGGGGAAAGAUUUAUCGGAGAAGGAUUAGCCCGCGUUAGAUUAGGUAGUUGGUGGGGUAAUGGCCUACCAAGCCUACGAUCUAUAGCUGGUUUGAGAGGAUGAUCAGCCACACUGGGACUGAGACACGGCCCAGACUCCUACGGGAGGCAGCAGUAGGGAAUCUUAGACAAUGGGGGCAACCCUGAUCUAGCCAUGCCGCGUGUGUGAUGAAGGCCCUAGGGUCGUAAAGCACUUUCGCCAGAGAUGAUAAUGACAGUAUCUGGUAAAGAAACCCCGGCUAACUCCGUGCCAGCAGCCGCGGUAAUACGGAGGGGGUUAGCGUUGUUCGGAAUUACUGGGCGUAAAGCGCACGUAGGCGGAUUAGUAAGUUAGAGGUGAAAUCCCAGGGCUCAACCCUGGAACUGCCUUUAAUACUGCUAGUCUUGAGUUCGAGAGAGGUAAGUGGAAUUCCGAGUGUAGAGGUGAAAUUCGUAGAUAUUCGGAGGAACACCAGUGGCGAAGGCGGCUUACUGGCUCGAUACUGACGCUGAGGUGCGAAAGUGUGGGGAGCAAACAGGAUUAGAUACCCUGGUAGUCCACACCGUAAACGAUGAAUGCCAGACGUCAGCAAGUAUACUUGUUGGUGUCACACCUAACGGAUUAAGCAUUCCGCCUGGGGAGUACGGUCGCAAGAUUA